AGCGGCGAGUGAGAGGGAAGAGCCCAAGAUUGAAAGCUGGCGUCUUCGGCGUCCGCAUUGUAAUCUCAAGAAGUGUUUUCCGCUUCGGACCAAGCCUAAGUCCCCUGGAAAGGGGCAUCAUAGAGGGUGAUAAUCCUGUACAUGGCUUGGAGCGCCCGAGGCUUUGUGAUACGCUUUCUAAGAGUCGAGUUGUUUGGGAAUGCAGCUCAAAAUGGGUGGUAAAUGCCAUCUAAGGCUAAAUAUUGGGGAGAGACCGAUAGCGAACAAGUACAGUGAUGGAAAGAUGAAAAGAACUUUGAAAAGAGAGUUAAACAGUACGUGAAAUUGCCAAAAGGGAAGGGUAGGAGGUCAGAGAUGCGGCCUGGGAUUCAGCCUUGCUUUUGCUUGGUGUUUUUCCCAGAUUGCAGGCCAACGUCGGUUUUGGGCACUGGAGAAGGGUAGGAGGAACGUGGCACCCCUCGGGGUGUGUUAUAGCCUCCUACUGGAUACAGCGACCGAGACCGAGGACAGCAGCGUACUCGCAAGAGCGGGCCUUCGGGCACCUUUACGCUUAGGGCGUUGGCAUAAUGGCCCUCUACCACCCGUCUUGA
rnacentral:rRNA from 1 species